UACAUGAGCAAAAUCUCAACUUUAUUAGAAGAGACGCAUUUAUUAGAUAAAAGCCAAUGCAUGCUUUUACAGUAUGAAAAUUGGUGAUUUAUAAUAACUUAGCAAAUCGCAAAGUGAAAACAGGCGAUAAAUCAUUCAAGUUUCUGACCUAUCAGCUUUCGACGGUAUGGUAUUGGCUUACCGUGGCAGUGACGGUUAACGGGGGAUUAGGGUUCGAUUCCGGAGAGGGAGCCUGAGAAACGGCUACCACAUCUAAGGAAGGCAGCAGGCGCGCAAAUUACCCAAUUCUAACAGUUUGAGAGAGGUAGUAACAAGAAAUAACAAUACAAGGCAGUUAAAAUGCUUUGUAAUUGGAAUGAUAGAAAUUUAAACCCUUUUUAAAGUAUCAAUUGGAGGGCAAGUCUGGUGCCAGCAGCCGCGGUAAUUCCAGCUCCAAUAGCGUAUAUUAAAAUUGUUGCAGUUAAAAAGCUCGUAGUUGAAGUUCUGCUAAAAGUAACCGGUCUGCUUUUAAUAAAAGUGGUAUCUUGGURUGUAUUUAGCAAUGAUGUCCUUUGAAGUGUUUUUUACUUUAUUGUAAUAAAGCAUAUUCAGGACUUUUACUUUGAGAAAAUUAGAGUGUUUCUAGCAGGCCAACGCUUUGAAUACUGCAGCAUGAAAUAAUAA
rnacentral:rRNA from 1 species